rnacentral:lncRNA from 1 species
UUUUUAGAAACUUCAUCUCUUUGAUUCUCUCUCAAUUCUUCAUCAUUCUUGUUGAUUUUUGGUUGUCUAAAGUCCUAUCAAUGUAGGCAAGAAGAUUGAUUUGUUUUGAGGUCAAAUCGAAGCAACUCUGAUCAUGAUCCUCAAAAUUCAAAUCCCCGUAUCUUUUUAUAUACUUGGAAUUGGACAAAAUUGAGGCCAAAUUCGAGCUCCUGAGUAUUUUUUCUUUGAAUCCAUGUCUUUGUUUUUCAUUUUAGUGAAGGUUGGUGGUUGACCA